CUGAAAAGUAGUUUCCUUGUAGCAAAUUCCUUUUAAGUAACUUCAUCGCUGUCUUGCCAGAGGCGCACCAACAUUGCAGCUCAGAUACCCCCUUCUUAAGAAGAUAUAUAUAGGUUUAUUUAGUUGCGCAUCGUGCGUCACUCUUGAGUCAUGAGGUUUGUUGUGGUGUAGCAGCGCAGCCUGAGCUUCCUCUCUCCUCUACCAGCCGCAGCAGCCAUGGGUAUCUCGCGUGAUCACUGGCAUAAACGGCGAGCCACCGGAGGCAAACGUGUCCAGCCUCGCAAGAAAAGGAAGUUUGAGUUAGGUCGGCCUGCCGCUAACACAAAGGUAGAAUAAUUUUGGCAGCUUGUUUUGGUAUAACAGUUUAGUGUG